CACAACUGUUGCUAACGAUGACUAAGUUGGUCUGCUAAAGUGUCAGUUCAGUUGCUCACUGUAAUGCCUUGCUUGAAGAUACUGUUGUUUAUUGUUUCAUCAUGAAUAAAAUUUUAUAUUAUACAAUUGUAAUUUGAGUGAAUAAGUUCGAAUAUUUGAUAUCAGAUCUUAAUACAGUGUCUAUUAUAUCACAGAUGGUCAGCGGCAUAUCCGUGAAUGGAGAGGGGGGAAGAUAAAAAUGAAAAAGACAAAGUUCUUCCAAAAAUGUAGAAAUUGAACUAUACAGGGUGGCGCAAAAGACACUGGACAGUUG